AGAUCGAUGACGACACCCUCUCAUGCAUUCCUUGGAAAAUCUGAACAAAAUGAGUGAGAACUCACUACCGUCUCCUCAUCGAAACUGAGGUCC
ensembl:snoRNA SNORD116 Small nucleolar RNA SNORD116